rnacentral:rRNA from 1 species
AUGCAAGAUCGUCACGUGAUUGCCUACGCUUCCCGACAGUUGCGUACACAUGAGGAUAAUUAUCCCACCCAUGAUCUAGAGCUUGCAGCCGUAGUCCAUGCACUCAAAACAUGGCGACAUUACCUUCUCUAUAAUCGUUGCGAGAUCUUCACCGAUCACCAAAGUCUGAAAUACAUUUUCACCCAACCGGAUUUGAAUCUCAGGCAAAGACGCUGGGUCGAGUUGAUCACAGAUUACGACUUAGGAAUAACUUACACCCCGGGCAAAGCCAACGUCAUGGCUGAUGCGCUAAGCCGUAAAUCUUACUGUAACAACUUGAUGUUACAACAAAGUCAACCACUUCUCCACGAGGAAUUCUGUAAGCUUAACCUUCACAUUGUUCCUCGAGGGUUCCUAUCCACCCUGGUGGCGAAACCCACCCUUACGGAUCAGAUCAUCAAAGCUCAGAAGGUAGAUCCGGGGAUCUCCCGUAUUAAGAGAAACAUCAAGAAAGGAGUUGCGGAUUGUUUCUCCGUUGAUGACCAAGGUGUUGUGUUCUUUGGAGACCGCCUAGUGGUUCCCAAGGUACGCAACCUGAGGCGAUUGAUCCUUAAGGAAGCUCAUGAAUCUCCUCUCACCAUUCAUCCCGGCAGUACCAAAAUGUAUCAAGACCUACGCCAGAGGUUUUGGUGGACUAGGAUGAAGAGAGAAAUUGCUCAAUACAUUGCUAUUGCGACGUCUGCCGUCGUGUUAAAGCAGAGCAUCAACGGCCUGCUGGCACCCUUUAGCCUCUGGCUAUUCCUGAAUGGAAAUGGGAUAAAAUUGGUAUGGAUUUCAUUACCGGGUUUCCCAGGACCAAGAGAGGGAAUAAUGCUAUCUUAG